rnacentral:pre_miRNA from 1 species
UUUCUACUCCCUCGAUCCGAAAAUACUUGUCAUCAAAAUGGAUAAAAAGAGAUGUAUCUAAAACUAAAAUACGUCUAGAUACAUUUCCUUUUAUCCAUUUUGAUGACAAGUAUUUCCGGACAGAGGGAGUAUUUG